rnacentral:rRNA from 1 species
CCAAUAGCGUAUAUUAAAGUUGUUGCAGUUAAAAAGCUCGUAGUUGAAUUUCGGGAUUGGCGCAUCGGUCGUGCCUUACGGGGUAUGAACUGGUGCAGUCAAUUUCUCACCUUCUGGAGAACCGCGAUGUCCUUAAUUGGGUGCCGCGGGGAACCAGGACCUUUACUUUGAAAAAAUUAGAGUGUUUAAAGCAGGCAUUUUUGCUUGAAUACAUUAGCAUGGAAUAAUAAAAUAGGACGGCAUGGUUCUAUUUUGUUGGUUUCUAGGACCAACGUAAUGAUUAAUAGGGAUAGUUGGGGGCAUUAGUAUUCAAUUGUCAGAGGUGAAAUUCUUGGAUUUAUUGAAGACUAACUACUGCGAAAGCAGUUGCCAAGGAUGUUUUCAUUAAUCAAGAACGAAAGUUAGGGGAUCGAAGACGAUCAGAUACCGUCGUAGUCUUAACCAUAAACUAUGCCGACUAGGAAUCAGACGAUGUUAAUUUUUUAAUGACUCGUUUGGCACCUUACG